GGAAUCUUGCGCAAUGGAGGAAACUCUGACGCAGCCACGCCGCGUGCCGGAAGACGGCCCUAUGGGUUGUAAACGGCUUUUAUUUGGGAAGAACCUGGGAGAUUCGUCUCCCCCUGACGGUACCAAUUGAACAAGCACCGGCCAACUCCCUUCCCGCAGCCGCGGUAAUACGGAGGGUGCAAGCGUUGUCCGGAAUCAUUGGGUGUAAAGGGUGCGCAGGCUGGCGCCUAAGUCGGAGGUGAAAUCUUGCCGCUUAACGGUAAAAUUGCCCCCGAUACUGGGUGUCUUGAAUCUGACAGAGGUCGGUGGAAUUCGUAGUGUAGCGGUGAAAUGCAUAGAUAUUACGAAGAACAUCAGUGGCGAAGGCGGCCGGCUGGGUCAGUAUUGACGCUGAGGCACGAGAGCGUGGGGAGCG
rnacentral:rRNA from 1 species